CUGCUCCUGACCGCUGGGCGAGCAUGCUGCGGCCAGUAUUGUGUAAUUUCAGUUACCAGACUGUGGUGUCCAGCGUCGAGACAUAGACUCUGAUUGCCGCGGUGCUGUGCGGUGAGGGGAGCGUCUGCGGCAGUGGGAACGGAGAAGGUCGGGGGAGAGGUCAGAGCUGCCCUGGGAACGCGUCCUGGGGGAAGCCCGCAGCUGCUGGGAGACUGGUACUCUCUGCAGGAGCGCUCAUUACAACAGUGUGUCUGCUCGUCAGACGCACAUUUAUCUGCGUUUACCAGAGGACCGUGUGGUGACGCUCCAGUAACAGCCCUUCAGGCCGGCUGACAGCGUUGGCUCGCCUGUGUGUCCCCGUGGAAUUUUGUCCGGUGCGCCCUGCACGACGUGGAUGUCAUCAGCUCGUUGCCGGGAGAACCGCACUCCAGACACGGCGUUUGCCCUGGGGAGCGCCCUCUGCCCAGCUCCUGUGUGCACUGCCUGGCUUCCCCCAAGUUCAUCCCACGGCGAGACCCUCAGGAUGGAAGUCGAUCAGCCUCCACGAGCUCAGGGUAGAUGCCACCCUCCUUUCCGACCGCAGCCCUUCUUGCUGGUUCUCAGGGCACUGCGGGCCCCUCCUUGGGGAUUUGUCCUUGCCCUGUCC
rnacentral:lncRNA from 1 species